rnacentral:rRNA from 1 species
GAUGAACGCUGGCGGCGUGCCUAAUACAUGCAAGUCGAGCGAACAGACGAGGCGCUUGCUCCUCUGACGUUAGCGGCGCACGGGUGAGUAACACGUGUAUAACCUACCUAUAAGACUGGGAUAACUUCGGGAAACCGGAUCUUAUACCGGAUAAGCUAUUGAACCGCGUGGUUCGAUAGUGAAAGACGGCGUUGCUGUCACUUAUAGAUGCAUACGCGCUGUAUUAGCUAGUUGGUACGGUAACGGCUUAUCAAGGCAAGCAUGCGUAGACGAGGUGAGAGGGUGGUCGCCGACCUUGGAACUGGGACACGGACAAGACGACUACGGGAGGCAGCAGUAGGGAACGGUCGGCAGUGGGCGAAAGCAUGGCGGAGCGACGCGGCGUGAGUGAUGAAGGUCUUCGGAUCGUAAAACUCUGUUAUUAGGGAAGAACAGAUGUGUAAGGAACUAAGCAGGUAUUGACGGUACCGGAUCAGAAAGCAACGGCUAACUACGUG